rnacentral:lncRNA from 1 species
CCUUUUGACCAAACUAAAGGAGAAGAAAGAAGAAGAAUACAAUGUGGGAGAUGGGGGAAAAAGAACGUGAAAUUAGGAAAAGGCAAAAAUUUGCAAAAAAAAUUAAAAUCCAAAAAAUAAAAUAAACUAACAUUAUUAGCCACAUGCCUAAAAUCUCUCUAACUCCUCACUAACCCAAACCUACAACUUCAGUAUUCCAGCCCCACCGAAAC